UACGGAGGGUGCAAGCGUUAAUCGGAAUUACUGGGCGUAAAGCGCGCGUAGGCGGUUUUUUAAGUCGGAUGUGAAAGCCCCGGGCUCAGCCUGGGAACUGCAUCCGAUACUGGAAGACUAGAAUGCGGGAGAGGGAGGUAGAAUUCCAUGUGUAGCAGUGAAAUGCGUAGAUAUAUGGAGGAAUACCAGUGGCGAAGGCGGCCUCCUGGCUCGACAUUGACGCUGAGGUGCGAAAGCGUGGGGAGCAAACGGG
rnacentral:rRNA from 1 species